GAUGAAGAACGUAGCGAAAUGCGAUACUUGGUGUGAAUUGCAGAAUCCCGUGAACCAUCGAGUCUUUGAACGCAAGUUGCGCCCGAAGCCAUUAGGCCGAGGGCACGCCUGCCUGGGUGUCACACACCGUUACCCUCGCGCCAACGUCCAUCGUUGGCCGCGGCGCGGGGCGUGCGCUGACCUCCCGCGAGCGGGGUCUCGUGGUUGGUUGAAAAUCGAGUUCGCGGUCGAGGGUGCCGUGAUGAAAUGGUGGAUGGGCGACGCCCGAGGCCAAUCACGCGCGACUCUGUCCGGGUCGGACUCCUGGACCCCUUCGGCGUCUCCGGACGCUCUUUGGCGAGACCUCAGGUCAGGCGGGGCUACCCGCUGAGUUUAAGCAUAUCAAUAGCGGAGGA
rnacentral:misc_RNA from 1 species